UGAGAGGGGUGAGGAGAAAGUGAGUGAGUGAAAGGGGUGAGGAGAGAGUGAGUGAGAGAGGGGUGAGGAGAAAGUGAGUGAGUGAGAGGGGUGAGGAGAGAGUGAGUGAGAGGGGUGAGGAGAGAGUGAGUGAGAGGGUGAGGAGAGAGUGAGUGAGUGAGUGAGUGAGUGAGUGAGUGAGUGAGUGAGUGAGUGAGUGAGUGAGUGAGUGAGUGAGAGGGGUGAGGAGAGAGUGAGUGAGUGGGAGGGGUGAGGAGAGAGUGAGUGAGAGGGGUGAGGAGAGAGUGAGUGAGUGAAAGGGGUGAGGAGAGAGUGAGUGAGUGAAAGGGGUGAGGAGAGAGUGAGUGAGUGAAAGGGGUGAGGAGAGAGUGAGUGAUGAGAGUGAGUGAGAGGGGUGAGGAGAGAGUGAGUGAGAGGGGUGAGGAGAGAGUGAGUGAGUGAGUGAGUGAGUGAGUGAGUGAGUGAGUGAGAGAGGGGUGAG
ensembl:lncRNA